rnacentral:pre_miRNA from 1 species
UGUCUCCCAGCCUGAGGUGCAGUGCUGCAUCUCUGGUCAGUUGGGAGUCUGAGAUGAAGCACUGUAGCUCAGGAAGGGAGAAGC